rnacentral:rRNA from 1 species
UACGUAGGGGGCAAGCGUUGUCCGGAAUCAUUGGGCGUAAAGAGCGUGUAGGCGGUCCGGUAAGUCGGCUGUGAAAGUCCAGGGCUCAACCCUGGGAUGCCGGUCGAUACUGCCGGACUAGAGUUCGGAAGAGGCGAGUGGAAUUCCCGGUGUAGCGGUGAAAUGCGCAGAUAUCGGGAGGAACACCUAUGGCGAAGGCAGCUCGCUGG